AACCCAUAGUAAGGGCAUCUUCGCAAAAGGUCCUUAUAUGUCUCCUAUGCAUCGUAGAGUGUUUCUAAAUCCAUCUGUACAAAAGAAGAGAUAUCAUUACGUAGUUU
rnacentral:snoRNA from 1 species